rnacentral:rRNA from 2 species
AAGCAGCUUGCUGCUUCGCUGACGAGUGGCGGACGGGUGAGUAAUGUCUGGGAAACUGCCUGAUGGAGGGGGAUAACUACUGGAAACGGUGGCUAAUACCGCAUAACGUCGCAAGACCAAAGAGGGGGACCUUCGGGCCUCUUGCCAUCAGAUGUGCCCAGAUGGGAUUAGCUUGUUGGUGAGGUAACGGCUCACCAAGGCGACGAUCCCUAGCUGGUCUGAGAGGAUGACCAGCCACACUGGAACUGAGACACGGUCCAGACUCCUACGGGAGGCAGCAGUGGGGAAUAUUGCACAAUGGGCGCAAGCCUGAUGCAGCCAUGCCGCGUGUAUGAAGAAGGCCUUCGGGUUGUAAAGUACUUUCAGCGGGGAGGAAGGUGUUGUGGUUAAUAACCGCAGCAAUUGACGUUACCCGCAGAAGAAGCACCGGCUAACUCCGUGCCAGCAGCCGCGGUAAUACGGAGGGUGCAAGCGUUAAUCGGAAUUACUGGGCGUAAAGCGCACGCAGGCGGUCUGUCAAGUCGGAUGUGAAAUCCCCGGGCUCAACCUGGGAACUGCAUUCGAAACUGGCAGGCUUGAGUCUUGUAGAGGGGGGUAGAAUUCCAGGUGUAGCGGUGAAAUGCGUAGAGAUCUGGAGGAAUACCGGUGGCGAAGGCGGCCCCCUGGACAAAGACUGACGCUCAGGUGCGAAAGCGUGGGGAGCAAACAGGAUUAGAUACCCUGGUAGUCCACGCCGUAAACGAUGUCUACUUGGAGGUUGUGCCCUUGAGGCGUGGCUUCCGGAGCUAACGCGUUAAGUAGACCGCCUGGGGAGUACGGCCGCAAGGUUAAAACUCAAAUGAAUUGACGGGGGCCCGCACAAGCGGUGGAGCAUGUGGUUUAAUUCGAUGCAACGCGAAGAACCUUACCUGGUCUUGACAUCCACAGAAGAAUCCAGAGAUGGAUUUGUGCCUUCGGGAACUGUGAGACAGGUGCUGCAUGGCUGUCGUCAGCUCGUGUUGUGAAAUGUUGGGUUAAGUCCCGCAACGAGCGCAACCCUUAUCCUUUGUUGCCAGCGGUUAGGCCGGGAACUCAAAGGAGACUGCCAGUGAUAAACUGGAGGAAGGUGGGGAUGACGUCAAGUCAUCAUGGCCCUUACGACCAGGGCUACACACGUGCUACAAUGGCGCAUACAAAGAGAAGCGACCUCGCGAGAGCAAGCGGACCUCAUAAAGUGCGUCGUAGUCCGGAUUGGAGUCUGCAACUCGACUCCAUGAAGUCGGAAUCGCUAGUAAUCGUGGAUCAGAAUGCCACGGUGAAUACGUUCCCGGGCCUUGUACACACCGCCCGUCACACCAUGGGAGUGGGUUGCAAAAGAAGUAGGUAGCUUAACCUUCGGGAGGGCGCUUACCACUUUGUGAUUCAUGACUGGGGUGAAGUCGUAACAAGGUAACCGUAGGGGAACCUGCGGUUGGAUCACCUCCUUACCUUAAAGAA